rnacentral:tRNA from 4 species
GCGGAUGUGGCGGAAUUGGUAUACGCGCACGCUUGAGGGGCGUGUGGUCUUGACCUUGCGAGUUCGAGUCUCGCCAUCCGCA